GCUGGCAGGAGGGGGAUGAUCCGCCUCACUUCUCCCACCUCCUGUCUCUCCUCCUCCCUGGGCCUGGACACACCUACUCCAACUUUCUCUCUGCAGCCUCCGGGCUGGGGCUGUGCCGAGAGCCUUCCUGCUCGGCUCCUCUGUACCUCCCUCUGGAGCCUUCAGCUCCAGGGACCCCAGCCCAGCACCCCCUCCUUUCAGGCACCCUCCCUACCUGAGGGACACAGCACUGUGUACAGGCUUGGCAAGGAGAUGAGACUUCAGUCCAUGUCUGGCACCUCCUCUUUUCAUGCCCUUUAUUUUCUGUCCCCUCGGAGACCCUGGAAGAGUUCCUAUCUCUCAGGCUGCUUCUUCACCUUUGAAACAAAUCACUGCAAAAAGAGGAGUGUCACGGGCCUGCAGGUGUGUGUGUGCAUGUGCGUGUGUGCAUGCUUGCAUGUAUGUACGAGCAUGUGUCUGGGGCUGCUCCCACAAAGGGUUCCUGGGCACAUUGAUGGCCAGUGAUGUUCAGAGAAUUCUGAAUUCCACACAUUUUUGAGCUUGUACUUCGAUAGUACUGACUUCAACCUGUCAGCUACUUCAGCAGCCUGGCAUCUUGCCAAAUUCUUUUCACACUAAAUCCUUCAGGUCCCCAAACCCCAGGGAGGUAAGUGGGAAAACUGAGGCUUCGGGUAGCAGAGCCUGGAAAUCAGAGAUGCUGAAGAAGUCAAAGAGGCCGCACUCUCCAAUCUCUUUAGCAUAGUCUUCUCGGCAGUUUACAACUGCAAAAGACAGUAUUCAGACAGUGAUUUAAGUGUCACUCAUGUGCCCAAUGUUCAAUGUGAGUUGUUGACCCCAAGCUGCAGAACAGUCACCUGAGGAAAAUUCAGCUUGCAUCUUUGUGAGUGUGUGCUGAGUGCUCACAUGCGUGUGAACACACAUGCUCUUCUGUGUGUGUACACAUGGAGGCCAGUAGUAGAUGCUGCUGCUCUCCACCUUAUAUAUUAAGACAGAGUCCCUCACUUGAACCCGAGUUUGCUAAUCCAGGGAGGUUAACUAGCCGCUUUGAUCUGAGGAUCCCUUAUCAACCGACCAAGCCCUGGAUUACAGGAGGGCUGUCACAUGCGCCUGACAUUUAGGUAGGUGUUGGGGAUCCAAACGCAGGUCCUCACAUUUGCAAGGCAAGUAUUUUACCUGCUGAACCAUCUGGGGACAGCCUGUAUCUAUUUUCUAACACACACACACACACACACACACACACACACACACACACACACACACACAGUUUUCUACUUUAAGAGAUAAUUCUGUGGCUGUGGGAUCAAACACAGGGCUUUGUGCAUGCCAGGCAAGAAUUCUGACACCAAAAUCUUCCUUAGUCCUAUUUUUUUAAAAACCAAUAAAACUAAAUGAAAACUACAUGUGUUUGUAGUGAGAACAUGUAAAAUCUUUUCCUAGUAAUUUUCAAGGAUAUAGUGUGUGUGUGUGUGUGUGUGUGUGUAGGCACUCUCUAUUGAGCUACACUUCAGUUCACUUUUUACUUUUAUUUUAAGACAGUCUUACUAAGUUGCCCCAGCUGGCCUUGAACUCCUUACUCCAGGCAGGCCUGGAACUUGUGAUUCUCCUGCCUCAACCUCCUUAAUAGCUGGGUCUACAGGUGUGCACUGCCAAGACCAGCUAUAGUUCAUUAUGAAUGCACAAUGGAUCUCCUGAUUCACUCCUAACUGGUGUCUUUUGACCAACAUUUCUUGCCUCCCACGCUCAGAGCUUCUAGUAACAGCCAUUCUACUCUGGGAGUUUGUUAGUUCAACCUUUUCAGAGCAUCCCUGUGAGUGAGACCUGCAGCAUUGGCAUUCCAUGUCUGUUUUAUUUCAC
ensembl:lncRNA